rnacentral:rRNA from 1 species
AGCGAACGCUGGCGGCAGGCCUACACAUGCAAGUCGAACGAAGUCUUUGGACUUAGUGGCGGACGGGUGAGUAACACGUGGGAACGUACCUUUUGGUUCGGAACAACUCAGGGAAACUUGAGCUAAUACCGGAUGAGCCCUCAGGGGGAAAGAUUUAUCGCCGAAAGAGCGGCCCGCGUUAGAUUAGCUAGUUGGUGAGGUAAAGGCUCACCAAGGCUACGAUCUAUAGCUGGUCUGAGAGGAUGAUCAGCCACACUGGGACUGAGACACGGCGCAGACUCCUACGGGAGGCAGCAGUGGGGAAUCUUGCGCAAUGGGCGAAAGCCUGACGCAGCCAUGCCGCGUGAAUGAUGAAGGUCUUAGGAUUGUAAAAUUCUUUUACCAGGGACGAUAAUGACGGUACCUGGAGAAAAAGCCCCGGCUAACUUCGUGCCAGCCGCCGCGGUAAUAC